rnacentral:rRNA from 1 species
CUGGGGCGUGCUUACACAUGCAGUCGAGCGGUAAGGCCCCUUCGGGGGUACACGAGCGGCGAACGGGUGAGUAACACGUGAGCAAUCUGCCCAUCACUUCGGGAUAACUCCGGGAAACCGGAGCUAAUACCGAAUACGACCACCUCCGGCAUCGGAUGGUGGUGGAAAGUUCCGGCGGUGAUGGAUGAGCUCGCGGCCUAUCAGCUUGUUGGUGGGGUAACGGCCCACCAAGGCUUCGACGGGUAGCCGGCCUGAGAGGGUGACCGGCCACACUGGGACUGAGACACGGCCCAGACUCCUACGGGAGGCAGCAGUGGGGAAUAUUGGACAAUGGGCGAAAGCCUGAUCCAGCAACGCCGCGUGAGGGAUGACGGCCUUCGGGUUGUAAACCUCUUUCAGCAGGGACGAAGCGCAAGUGACGGUACCUGCAGAAGAAGCACCGGCCAACUACGUGCCAGCAGCCACGGUAAU